GACCACACUUUGAGUAGCAAGGGUGUAGAGCUUCGCACAUUUACGUGGAAGCCUCCAAUAGCUGUGUGAGGAAAUAGAGGCUGAGAGAAUUUAUCUGAUACUGUCAGGCAGCAUUUUUUCUUACUGUGCUUCAGUUGCACUCCUCUUAUAAAUAAUCACCUUCUUAUUUAUCUCUAUUUACUAUUUUUGUAUUGUUGGUUUUCACGUAGUAGCAACUCCUGCCCUUUCCUUUAGGAAUGUUGUAUCUUCUUUGUAACUUCUUUUCAAAGUGGAAAUAUUCAAGUAAACCACAACUCAUGUUAGCACUAGAUUUUACAAUCGUAUGGGUCUGGAAUUUGUUCGGUCCGUCGGAUACGACAGCCCCACUGUAUUCUGUGGAUCUGACCACAAUACAGCUUCAUGUCGACAGACUUGCAGAGCACGGCGUGUUCCAUGAACACAAGGCCAGGGAGCUGAUCUUUUCAUAGGAUCCUCUGCAGAAGGUGAGCCAAGAAAAGCCAAAGAAGAACAAUGAAUAUAGCUCCAGCUUCCCUCUAACAGGGGGAAUGUGGCUCCAAAUGGCUGCUUACAUUGAGGACCUUUGAGCUCAGAAUCAGUAAGACCUUCUUCCAAGAUUGGGCUGAUCCAGGGCACAUGGAUCUACAACAGCGUUUCUCAGCUUCUCCACUUGAUAUUUUGGGCCAUAAUGCUUUCUUGUCAGGGGCUGUCCUGUGAGUUGUAGGACAUUUGCAGCAUUCCUGGCCUCUACUUAUUAGAUGCCAGCAGCACCUCCCCCGACUCCAGUUGUGGCCAUCAAAAAUGUCUCCAGUCAUGCCAAAUCUUCCCUAGGGGGCAAAUUGUUCCCAGGUGAGAACCACUUGUUUGAGAAGAGCUCUGGACUCUUCCCAGCCUGGAGAUGUUAAGAACAAGCUUCUUGAACUGCUCUGAUGUAUGUCAGAAGGGGUUUCUAUUAGUAACUCUAGGAUCACUCAUUUUUAUCAUCUUCAAUCACAAAUCAAGAUCAGGAAGGGGAUGAGGGUGGGCAGUUUACAGGCUCUCCCCUAUUUAGUCAGAGAUCUUUCUUCUUUUGGACAUGCAUAAAAAUAUCUGGGAACAAGUUACGGCUUCACUUGAGUGUAGGAAAACCGGUGAAUCUUUAAGCGCCACAGCUGCCUGCUUUACAUUAAUCAGUCUGGAUGAAGGCUGUGGCCCUUUUACCAUGCUAUUUCUUCUGUUUUAAAAAAUUACCUCAAAGUAUUUUGAAAACAUUUUUAAAGUUUUGUAGUCUCACCAUUACAUUUGCAUAAUCCACCAAAAGCCAUCAAAAAGUUAAUUUCAUUAUUUGGGGAAAAUCCCUACUUAUGUAGGCAACUUUCUGUCAAACACUGCAUAUGGCUUCUCUUAUUCUAGGUUUGGCUUUCUGUCAGGAUCAAAAGUAGGAACUGAUCUAUAUUUGCCUUUGAGAAAGGGAUUUGUGACCUGCCUUUUGUUUUCCAGUGCUGUUUUGUAGAAAUCUGCAACCACAGGCUACCCAAAUAUAAAUAGCCUUUUCCGUUCAUUCUAAUGGAAAGUCAUACUUUGUAUACAGGGACCAAAACUAUGUCUGCAAGACACCAUUGGGACCGGUGAAAACAGGAAAAAGAAUCAAGUGCAACAGCAAUUAAAUGAAUAUUUUCAGGGAUCUGUUUAAUUAUGCAGACUAAGACAAAGAAUAACGAACACAGAGUUCGGAGCAAAGCACAAUUUUCAUGAAGAUACUUAUUAUUUGGUGCUAGAAUAAGCAGAUCAUACAAAUACAUUUCAUACAGGCUAAAAUCAAUCUCAGUUUCUUGAUAGCACUGCAUUUAAUGUCUAGAUCCUAUGCUUUCCAGAAUUUUGACUCUUUCUUGCACUGAGCGUCCCCUUUGUUCUAAUAGGAGAAAGAAACCCACCAUGCCAAUUACGGUAGAUGAAUGUUCACUCAUCUACUAUGGAGAGGCAGCUCAAAAAAGGUAGAGCUAGCAGCCCAAUAGUUCUCAGAUCUCCUACUCCCAUGGGUUGGGAAUCAUUAGCUGCUUAGAAAGAUGGUGUAAUGGGAUAGAGUCAGAAUGGAGUUUUUUUUGUUCUUUUUCUUUUGUUUGUGAAUGGGUCAAGACUUCUUGUCUCAGAUAUAGAUACUACCAGAGGCAAAACCAAAAACUAACAAACACUUCAAAAACAACCUCUAACAUUUAAAAUCUCCCCUGUGGUCUGAUUACCUUGUUCACCUAUCCUUUGAGGUGCUUGAGAAGGCGGAAUGCCCCUUCAAGAAGGUCAAUGUCACCACCUGAGUUUUGGGUUGACAGAGCCCUGCUAUGUAUUCUCUCACCCCCUUUUCCUAGGAAGUUGAAUGGCCAUGCUCUCAUCUCUUGUUUUGCUCAAGCUUUUCCAUCAAUAACUAUCUGAAUACAUAGUCAAGUCUCAUUCUGUUGCUUUGCUUGCAGUUGUAGGAAAUUUCCCGCAUAUAACUUGUGCAAACAUCUUUGACUUACUUUUUAUUCCUCUUCUUUUUAUGUUUCUUUUGUAUCUGUAUUUCACAUGAGUGCCCUUCUAUAAGAAUUUAGUAUUGGUUUCAGAAAGAUUCUUUGUGUAACAUAUAAGCCUUUUUGCUAAAUAUGAGGGCUUUUCAUUACAUUCAUAUAAAUAUCAUAUAUGCAAAUUUUAUUUUCAUAGUAACAAUACUGUUAUCAUAUUUUUAUUUUAUUUUUGUCUUAGGUUCUUCUUGCAUGAGGACAGAAAUCUUUCCUGCUCUCAAACUGGCCAUGUGCCACUCUGUAGCAAAUGCUACUUCAGGAUAGACAGUUUUCGGUAAACCCACGAGCAUCGAUGAUAGUAGCCCCAGGACUGCUUGAAUAUCCAAGAGCUCAGUGGGGGCAUGGCAGUAGGAAAAAGAAUGCGACGCAUAAAGAAAGUGAGAUAGGCAGACAGGAAGGGAGAGAACUGAGAUCCUGAGGUCUGCAAAAAUAAGAUGGGAGGAAAUGACUUCUCUUUCUGGUGACACUGAGGGAAGUUCAAAGGAGAGAGAUUAUAAAU
ensembl:lncRNA